UGGCCGGUGAUGGAUGAAACCUGAGUUGUACAGACACUCUUAGUGAGUUGUAUGAAGUGCAUUGAAACACACACACACAUUGCGUCUCUGAGGCCA
rfam:Oryza glaberrima chromosome 10 Oglab10_0098_1, whole genome shotgun sequence.